rnacentral:rRNA from 1 species
AUUGAACGCUGGCGGCAUGCCUUACACAUGCAAGUCGAACGGUAACGCGGGGCAACCUGGCGACGAGUGGCGAACGGGUGAGUAAUGCAUCGGAACGUGCCCAUUAGUGGGGGAUAGCCCGGCGAAAGCCGGAUUAAUACCGCAUACGACCUACGGGUGAAAGCAGGGGAUCGCAAGACCUUGCGCUAUAGGAGCGGCCGAUGUCGGAUUAGCCAGUUGGGGGGGUAAAGGCCUACCAAGGCUACGAUCCGUAGCUGGUCUGAGAGCACGACCAGCCACACUGGGACUGGGGCACCGGCCAGACUCCUACGGGGGGCCGCGGUGGGGAACUUUGGACAAUGGGGGAAACCCUGCGCCAGCCAUGCCGCGUGGGGGAAGAAGGCCGUCGGGGUGUAAACCGUGUUUGUCAGGGAAGAAACGCCUUGGGCUAAUACCUCGAGCUAAUGACGGUACCUGAAGAAUAAGCACCGGCUAACUACGUGCCAGCAGCCGCCGUAACAC